GGGCCAUGCUUAUCGAAUCGAGUGAACCAAACUCACAUUCUUAUCCUCGAUUACCAAUCAAUGCCAAUCAAAUCAAGUGGUUCAAACUCGCAUCUCAUUCCUUGUUUUUGAUUGAUGCCCAAUAGAAGUUAUAUUCACACUCCAUAUCAAAUGAACUUCUAGUGACACUCCAUAUCAAAUCAAAUGAACUUAAAUAGGGAGCAGAGUUCCUCUGUUAUAUAAGAACAUACACAACAUAAGUUCCUCUAUUCUCAAAUAGUAAUGAACAAACUAUGAGCAUUCUUAUUAGAUCACAUUCUUAAGUACACAUACAUGAUACA
rnacentral:lncRNA from 1 species